UAGAGUACAGUGUCCACCUGGAUAUUUGCAGAUGGGUUUUGCUGAGUUCACCUGCAGAGCUGAUGGCACAAGGAAGUCUUCAUUUCCACUCAUUUGUGCAAGUUAUGUCUAUUUUCUGUUUGCUCUUUUGGCAUCUGUUGUCAUCUCAGUGUUUUGUGGCUGUUUAUUUUGUUGCUCCAACUGCAGUAGGAGUAAAAAUACAGUGAGAUUAAGAACUCAACAAGAAACGGUGAAUCCAGCAUAUGAAGCAGAACACACACCACUAGAGGGCCCUCUCUGUCCAGCAUAAAGCC